rnacentral:lncRNA from 1 species
CCCCCCCCCGUCGGGCUCGUCCUCGUCAACGAGCCGAACCGGGCGUCUCCUUCCCUGCUUCGGUCUACGGCGGAGGAACUUCUUCAGCGUCUCCUUCCCCGGUCCGGCUUCCUCUCCGUCGGUUCAGCGCCCCCUCUUCGCCCCAAGGUGAGGCUGCACGUCGCCCCUGUGCUUCUUCCUUCUUGGGUCGGCCGGAGUCGCCGUGAUGCUUCGGUUUUCUUCCCUGUCAGUAGGUCGGCAACAGUGCGUACGGUGCAGUAGCUGGGCGAGGUCUGUGCGUGCGUGUUCGUAGUAGCAGCCGGCAACAGUAGGUAGCCUAGCAGCGCAGCAGUUCCCGCAGGGUGGCGCGCCCGGAGCUCUCUGUCCCGUGCUCCCAGGCGGACGGUGCAGCUUAGCAGGAACACCGUUGCAGUUCAAGGCAGCCAAGGAGGCACCUCCUCCCGUGCUCAGGGCGAAAAUGGAUCCCCCGGGAGUCCCGCGGGCCCCGCCGACGGUUUCCCCUGCCNNNNNNNNNNNNNNNNNNNNNNNNNNNNNNNNNNNNNNNNNNNNNNNNNNNNNNNNNNNNNNNNNNNNNNNNNNNNNNNNNNNNNNNNNNNNNNNNNNNNAAAUCGGGAAAUUCGGAACGGAGGUGAUCUCGCGUUCCCACGUAGCCUCUUUAUCGGAAUGGUGUGACCACUACACUUUGAGAAACUUGACAGUCUUGUUACGGGUCUUGCGCUCAGUCGCCUCGAGAACCGCAACUGGAUGCUCACGAUAAGAAAGGUCAGGCUGAAGAUCGAUAUCUUGAAGAUGCACAGUGCGCUCGGGGUUCUUGAAACACCUCCGGAGCUGAGAAACAUGGAACACAUCAUGGACAUUUGCAAAGGUUGACGGAAGCUCGAGCUGGUAUGCAAGGUCGCCCCUCUUGCCAACCACUCUGAACGGACCAACGAAACGAGGCGCAAGCUUGCCUUUGAUGCCAAAGCGCUGCAUACCCUUGAUAGGCUACACCUUGAGAUAGACAAAAUCAUCAAGCUCAUACGACAUGUCACGGUGCUUGCUAUCGUAAUAGCUCUUCUGACGGGACUGAGCUGCUCUGAGGUUGUCGCGAAUGAUCCGGCACAUCUCCUCAGCUUCUUCUAUCAUAUCAUUGCCAAGGAUCUGACGCUCGCCUGUCUGGGACCAGUUGAGCGGAGUACGGCACUUCCUGCCAUAGAUAAUUUCAAAUGGAGCCUUGCCAGAACUAGCUUGAUAACUGUUGUUAUACGAGAACUCCGCGAAAGGCACACAAUCCUCCCACUUCAUGCCAAAAGAGAUAACAUGGGCUCUCCGCAUAUCCUCAAGAACUUGAUUCACUCUCUCCACUUGACCACUAGUCUGAGGAUGGAACGCUGUGCUGAAGCGGAUCUUCGUGCCCAUAGCCCCCCCCCCCCCCCCCCAGAACUUGGAAGUGAAGAUACUUCCGCGAUCUGACGAGAUCAUCAUAGGUACGCCGUGCAAAGAGACAAUCCUGGAGGUGUACAACUCUGCCAGCUGAGCUGCUGAAAUGGAUUCCUUGACUCGAAGGAAAUGCGCUACUUUACUCAAUUUGUCGAUGACGACGAAGAUAGCAUCAUUGCCCUUCUUGGACUUCGGAAACCCGGUGACGAAGUCCAUCUCAAUGUGAUUGAACUUCCACUCGGGAAUCGGCAAAGGCUGCAAGAGGCCCGCUGGUCUUUGAUGUUCUGCUUUCACCCUUCGACAUACAUCACACUCGUUUACGUAUUGUGCAAUUUCACGUUUCAUACGAGUCCACCAGAAAGUCUGCUUCAAGUCAUGGUACAUUUUGGAACUUCCAGGAUGAAUAGAGAGCAGAGAGUUAUGAGCUUCUUCCAUGAUCACCUUCCUGAGAUCACCUUUCGGGACGACAAGGCGGUCCUCGAAAAACAAUGUGUCCCUGGCAUCAACAGUGAAACACUUAUACUUGGGAAGACUCUUUCCCACACCAAUCUUGACCUUCUUCACCAUAGCAUCAAGUAGCUGAGCUGCUCUGACCUGAUCUUCCAAGGUAGGAGAGAUCUGAAGGUUUGCAAGAAAACCCUGAGGAACCAGCUGAAGAUUGAGCUUCCUGAAAGACUCAGAAAGACCCGGCUGGAGAGGUUGCAGAAUCAGACUGUUGCAAUAUGCCUUCCUGCUCAAUGCAUCUGCCACAACAUUUGCCUUGCCUGGCGUGUACUCAACACUCGGAUUAAAAUCCUGGAGCAUUUCCACCAAACGUGUUUGCCGAAGAUUCAAGUUAGGCUGAGUGAAGAUAUACUUGAGACUCUUGUGAUCGGUGAAAACUUCAACCUUAUGUUCCAACAAGAGAUGUCUCCAAGUCAUCAAGGCGUGCACAACAGCUGCUAGCUCGAGAUCGUGCACAGGAUAGUUCUUCUCCGGAGGCUUCAGCUGCCUCGAGGUAUAAGCAACCACCUUCCUAUCUUGCAUCAAGACUGCACCGAAACCCUGGAGAGAAGCAUCACAAAAGACCUGGUACGGCUNNNNNNNNNNNNNNNNNNNNNNNNNNNNNNNNNNNNNNNNNNNNNNNNNNNNNNNNNNNNNNNNNNNNNNNNNNNNNNNNNNNNNNNNNNNNNNNNNNNNUUUUUAGUUUCCCUUGCAUGCAUGCAAACCAUAAUGCUUCAUGUCAUGUCUUGUGUGCACAUAUCUUGCUUGGUGUGAUUGUGUGAUCUCGUGAUUUCAUGUGUUGAUAUUGCACAUGUGAAUUUUGUGGUGUGAAUUAGUGGAGUGUGGUGCUUGGCUUGUUUUUCAAACCCCUUGUUGGUUUCAAACCUUUCUCUCUUUAAUUCUCAAGUUCAAAACCUGUUUGCUCCUAUGCUGCUUUAUAAAUGUUACACCUUUAGCCCAUUUUAUUUGGAGUGUGGGCAUGUAGGAGAGGGGUUUUUAAAACCUCUUGUGCUAGAGGUUUUUCUUUAUUUCAGAUUUAAUUAAAUCUGUCUAGGAAUUAUUUGUUGGAAUUAUGCCCUAGAGACAAUAAUAAAUAUAGUUAUUAUUAUAAUUCCUGUAUCAAGAUAAUCGUUUAUUAUCCAUGCUAUAAUUUAUUGAAUGAAGACUCAGUUACAUGUGUGGAUACAUAGACAAAACACCGUCCCUAGCAAGCCUCUAGUUGGCUAGCCAGUUGAUCAAAGAUAGUCAGUGUCUUCUGAUUAUGAACAAGGUGUUGUUGCUUGAUAACUGGAUCACGUCAUUAGGAGAAUCACGUGAUGGACUAGACCCAAACUAAUAGACGUAGCAUGUUGAUCGUGUCAUUUUGUUGCUACUGUUUUCUGCGUGUCAAGUAUUUAUUCCUAUGACCAUGAGAUCAUAUAACUCACUGACACCGGAGGAAUGCUUUAUGUGUAUCAAACGUCGCAACGUAACUGGGUGACUAUAAGGUUGCUCUACAGGUAUCUCCGAAGGUGUUAGUUGAGUUAGUAUGGAUCAAGACUGGGAUUUGUCACUCCGUGUAAACGGAGAGGUAUCUCGGGGCCCACUCGGUAAUACAACAUCACACACAAGCCUUGCAAGCAAUGUAACUUAGUGUAAGUUGCGGGAUCUUGUAUUACGGAACGAGUAAAGAGACUUGCCCGUAAACGAGAUUGAAAUAGGUAUACGGAUACUCACGAUCGAAUCUCGGGCAAGUAACAUACCGAAGGACAAAGGGAAUGACAUACGGGAUUAUAUGAAUCCUUGGCACUGAGGUUCAAACGAUAAGAUCUUCGUAGAAUAUGUAGGAUCCAAUAUGGGCAUCCAGGUCCCGCUAUUGCAUAUUGAUCGAGGAGUCUCUCGGGUCAUGUCUACAUAGUUCUCGAACCCGCAGGGUGUGCACACUUAAGGUUCGACGUUGUUUUAUGCGUAUUUGAGUUAUAUGGUUGGUUACCGAAUGUUGUUCGGAGACCCGGAUGAGAUCACGGACGUCACGAGGGUUUCCGGAAUGGUCCGGAAACGAAGAUUGAUAUAUAGGAUGACCUCAUUUGAUUACCGGAAGGUUUUCGGAGUUACCGGGAAUGUACCGGGAAUGACGAAUGGGUUCCGGGAGUUCACUGGGGGGGGGGGGCAACCCACCCCGGGGAAGCCCAUAGGCCUUGAGGGUGGCACACCAGCCCUUAGUGGGCUGGUGGGACAGCCCAAAAGGGCUCUAUGCGCCAAGUAAAAGAAAAUCAAGAGGAAAGAAAAAAAAAGGAGGAGGUGGGAAGGAAGGGGGACUCCCUCCCACCAAACCAAGUCCAACUCAGUUUGGGGGGGGGAGUCCUCCCCCCUUGGACUCGGCCGACCCCCUUGGGGCUCCUUGAGCGCCAAGGCAAGGUCCCCUCCCUCCCACCUAUAUAUACGAAGGUCUUAGGGCUGAUUUGAGACGAUUUUUCCACGGCAGCCCGACCACAUACCUCCACGGUUUUUCCUCUAGAUCGCAUUUCUGCGGAGCUCGGGCGGAGCCCUGCUGAGACAAGGUCAUCACCAACCUCCGGAGCGCCGUCACGCUGCCGGAGAACUCUUCUACCUCUCCGUCUCUCUUGCUGGAUCAAGAAGGCCGAGAUCAUCGUCGAGCUGUACGUGUGCUGAACGCGGAGGUGCCGUCCGUUCGGUACUAGAUCGUGGGACUGAUCGCGGGAUUGUUCGCGGGGCGGAUCGAGGGACGUGAGGACGUUCCACUACAUCAACCGCGUUCUCUAACGCUUCUGCUGCACGAUCUACAGGGGUACGUAGAUCACUCAUCCACUCUCGUAGAUGGACAUCACAAUGACAGGUCUUCGUGCGCGUAGGAAAAUUUUUGUUUCCCAUGCGACGUUCCCCAACAGUGGCAUCAUGAGCUAGGUUCAUGCGUAGAUGUCUUCUCGAGUAGAACACAAAAGUUUUUGUGGGCGGUGAUGUGCGUUUUGCUGCCCUCCUUAGUCUUUUCUUGAUUCCGCGGUAUUGUUGGAUUGAAGCGGCUUGGACCGACAUUACUCGUACGCUUACGAGAGACUGGUUUCAUCGUUACGAGUAACUCCGUUGCUCAAAGAUGACUGGCAAGUGUUGGUUUCUCCAAAUUUAGUUGAAUCGGAUUUGACCGAGGAGGUCCUUGGAUGAGGUUAAAUAGCAACUCAUAUAUCUCCGUUGUGGUGUUUGCGUAAGUAAGAUGCGAUCCUACUAGAUACCCAUGGUCACCACGUAAAACAUGCAACAACAAAAUUAGAGGACGUCUAACUUNNNNNNNNNNNNNNNNNNNNNNNNNNNNNNNNNNNNNNNNNNNNNNNNNNNNNNNNNNNNNNNNNNNNNNNNNNNNNNNNNNNNNNNNNNNNNNNNNNNNAUUUUUGUUUCUUUUCCUUUUAUUCCACUAUUCCAAGGAAUAUUUUUUAGUCUUGAUUAUCUUUAUCUUUUCUUAUAUUAUUUUCCUAGUUGUGCUAAGUCAUGUGAAGGUUUUCUAUUUCAAAGACAGAAUAAUUUCGGACCUCAUUGAAAUAUGUGGAAAAAUUGGAAUAUUUGCAUAUUUCAAAAAUUAUUUCAGAUUUUCAGAUUUAAAAUUCCACCUAGUUUCAAUGAAUUCUAACAUAUUUUAAUUUAUGUUGAAAUAUGUCUGAAUCGAAAUUUCGGGAUUUCAAAUACUUCGGACCCCAUUAAAUUUUAUUUUUUUAGGGGAAAAGGAAAAAGACCGGACCCCAUUAAAAUAUGUGAAAUUUCUGAAUUUUUACUGGAAUUUCGUUGAACUUUUUAACCCUGAUGGCAUGCACUAGAAAAAGAAGAGAGGGUCCUAUGUCAAGCAGCCAGCGUACCAAUGUCAAAAUAUGUGAAAUUUCUGAAAUUUUACUGAAAUUCAGUUGAACUUUUUAACCUGAUGGGAUGCACCAGAAAAAAGAAUAGGCGAGGGUCCUAUGCCAAACAGCGAGCGUACCAAUGACAUGUCCGGGCCACUGCUCUCAUCUUUCCAUCCCUUCUCUGCCGGAGUCUCCUCUCCUGCCACAUAGCGAGGGGACACGCCACACACAUCUCGGCGACUUGUCCCUCCUCUCGGUUCAUCGGUGGAGUGCGAGAAAAGCCACGGCACCGCCCCAACCAGCGUUUUUUACUGCACCGAAAAGCCCGAGGAAUUUUGACCACUGUUGGGCAGUAUACACACACACAACACAGCGCGCCCUUUUAGCAGCAGCACCACAGUCCACACUCCACAGCGUCCAACAUCGACAAAAGCCACUCUCUUUCGCCGGGCGGGCCCUCCCUGCGACGCCUGUCUCCACCCACGACUUGACCCCAGAUCCAGCACAGUGGCCAACUCUGAACUUCAUUGUCAUUGAUUCGCCCGCUGCCAUGGAAGAAGCAGAGCACUACUAGUACUACUGUAGGAACAUUAACCCUAGGCGGUGGGUCAUGGAGCAGGACAGGUUGAUGGGCGGGCGAGAGGACGGUGGAGGAGGAGGAGGAGGNNNNNNNNNNNNGGCGCCGCCGACGCUCUGAACCCGAAUUACUCCUCCGAUAAAAGGGAGGAGCUGGAAUCGGCGGCAUGAUGAGAUCGCCAAUCGCAAAGGCUGCCACCGCGCAGCGAUCCAAGCAUACGCCAUGUCCCUGCCCUGUCCCCCACCCCCUAAGCUACCGCCAGGCGCCAAAACAGCCGUCGUCGGCGGCGCGCGCUGACGCCAUCCACGAUCCGCGUGUCGGCGUCCGGCCCGAUCCAGCACCACGACGGGCUCUCCUCGGUUGGUUGAACACACACACACGGUACGGUAUGUCAAUAAGAGCAACUCCACCAGACGCGUUAUCUAAUCAUAAAUCGUGUUUUUACGCGCGUACAAAAGCCGCUUCAGCAGAGACGUUGAAGUCGCACGCGCUAGAUAGUCGGUUGCGUGCGCGGAGCAAAACGUCAUCACGUGCUGUUGCGACAUCCCGAUAACCCCUUCCCCACCGUCGCGUGGCACGGCAACGGUCGACGCGGGCGGCAUGAGUUUUGGUCUUUCAUGGGAGGCAUGAAAACUUCUCCGUAUAACAUGGGUGCACGCAUGGCUUUCGGGUGUAGGGAGGGGUGAAGGGGAUGGCUUUCGGGUGUAGGGAGGGGUGUAGUUUUGGUCUCAUGGCCACAUGACUAACAACGAGGACAACGGAACGUCUUCAUCCUUGGACGAAGACUCGAAUGAAGAAGAAGAGAAGAAAGAAGAUGAGGCAUGAUUGUUCAUAUGCCAUUUGUUUGUGGGUGAGCUUUAUACUCGUCAUGAUCUUCGCAAGAUGAUUUUAAACUAUAUCAUGCAAUUCAACUAUGCUACGUUGUUCGAAUGCAAAAAAUAAAUAUACUUUUAAAAUAUUAUAUAAUGUGGUUGGCUGCCCGCGCGUUUCACCAUACAGAUGUCUGCGCGCGUUUCAUUUUGCAACGUCUGCUGAAGUGGCAGGGUCGCGUCCCAUUUUACGGCUUCUGUUGAAGCGGGCACCUUGCCGCGUGUAAAAAAAAUGCAUUUCACUGCUGUGAUUUUUUUUAACGCGCUUGUUGGAGUGCUGCUACCNNNNNNNNNNNNNNNNNNNNNNNNNNNNNNNNNNNNNNNNNNNNNNNNNNNNNNNNNNNNNNNNNNNNNNNNNNNNNNNNNNNNNNNNNNNNNNNNNNNNCAGAACAAUCAAUCUUGUCCCCUCUGCUUAUUGUAAUAAUUCAAUUUUCCUGCUGCAAGCUGAAUUCACUGCACUUCCAAGACUCUCAAUUUUUUCAUAUUCUACUUUGAACAUGACGACAACUGUACCAUCUUUGCCAGUGUCAUAGUCCUGUUUAAUAUCUUCGGCAUGGAAAUGUUGCAGCUGUUCAAAGAUUCAAACAUUCAUGCUUAGGCUUCAGCAAAUCAUAAACACUCACCAAAAUAACUAUGUUAAAAGUACAUGAAUAACCUCCAGAAGACACACAAGUAUUGCUUGGAAUCAAUUACCAGUUACAUUAGGCUAUAAAAUCAACAUAAAAAUUCGAUGUACUCAAACUAGAUAAAGAAUGUUCCGUUUUUUCAACAAAAUUGGAUCUAUUGAGCAGACAUCAUACAUGCAACAUGAUAUACCCCACAAAUGUUUAUAAUAGCAACUCUAUAUUUGUUCUUUAAUUAAUCGUCUGAAAAUAAGUAUUGGUGUCUCCAGUACAAAUAUUUUGUUUAUAUGCUCACUAUACCUGGUUAUAGACUGUACCCAAGAGAUCAAAUGGUACUUCCAUUCCCACACGAGCCUGAAAUGAAAAUACCCACCAAGUCAGAAUUACACACAACUUCCUGCAUCUUCAAACUAUUGCAUGAAUGAGGCAAGAGCAGAUGGAACAUAAUUGAGCUUGAUCACCUUGGGUUUCACAAGACAAGUAGGAGCAUCUUUAAGGCACUCAGAAGCAACCCCACCAUAAGCUCUCACCAGCCCGCCGGUUCCAAGUUUUAUGCCUCCAAAAUAUCUUUACAAUGUUUAAAGGAGAAAAUUAGUGCAAGCUGUAAAGAGGUAAUCACAUUAACCAUGUGUCCCACAAAAAGUAGUGAAAUGUAAGUUCAACACCACUUAUCUAUAGUUUCAUUUCAACAAUUCGAUUAACUUAUACAAAAUUAAAUACCAACAAAUUGGUAAAAUUAUUGGUCAUGACAAAAAUUCAUGAAAAUGAAGGGCAUUAUCUGACAAAAUGGAUACCUGAUUACAACCACCAUGACCAUAUCUAUGCCAGAUGAAAUGAUAGCAGAGUAUAUUGGCUUUCCAGCUGUGCUUGAAGGUUCGCCGUCAUCGUUAUAACGGAAUUGCUCUCCCACCUAAAUACACGUGAAUGCAAAGACAAACUCACCAUUAACAAUCAUAGACAUGGCAUAUGACUAUAUGAGUAGCAGGCUUUAUAUAAAACCACGAACCUUGUACGCCCAGCAAUUAUGGGUGGCACGAGGAUCCUUGACCUACAACACAAAACCGUGUAGAUCUAGUCAACAGAGUACACAGAAGUUCUGGUUUCCGGACGGACAAGUCAUAAGUUUGCUAGUAUGGUCGAAAUGCAAAUACUAACACGGAUGUGUAUACAACUGCAAGGCUAGCCCGCAGAGUGCUUAUAAAUCCGAGCCAAAAAUUAUACAAUUGGAAGCAAUAGAUCGUGAGCGAAACCCUUGAGCAAUGCGUCAGCAUGACAAGGAUAACCAGGCAAUCAGGACUACACGAGCCUGCCCGCUGCAACUGGAGAUUAGGGGCGGGUCAAAGACCUCGCUGGAAAACGAAUCGAGUGGGAACGAGGAGGCGCACCUCGUUGAGGAAGGACAUGGCGGAGCGCUCGNNNNNNNNNNNNNNNNNNNNNNNNNNNNNNNNNNNNNNNNNNNNNNNNNNNNNNNNNNNNNNNNNCUAAUAUAUUCUAAAAAUAUAUUUUUACAAAUUAAAUAUCAAAAUAUCAUUACGAAUUAUCGAGACAAACGUAUUUAACCAAUGGUAGCCAUGCAUUUAAAAUUGUUUAAUGCAUAUCUAAAAAGGGUUAAUGUGUAUUAAAAAAAACUUCAUCGUCUAUUUGAAAAUUAUUUAGUUAUUUAAAUAAUGUUCAUUGUGUAUUUUCAUAAUAUACAUCAUAUAGUUUUUAAAUAUUAUGUAUAUCAUGUAUUAGGAAGAAAAAGAACAGGAAGAAAGUCGACUAAAAAAUAAAAAUAAAAUUCUAAAUGAAAUUUGCAAAAAAAACUCAAACCCCGAGAAGCGCUCGGUAACGGAAACUCCAUGAAGUUCGUGGACAUUUCAACCUUUAUUCUCUAGUUUAGUUGGUUUGGAGGAUUACUUGAUUGGAUACCCAAUCUUUAUAAAUUUUUAAAGUCACUGCUUCUGCUUGUGUCAUCUUAUUGGCCUGAAGCGGCCUAAGUAAGGCAUGCGUCGUUGGAUCGAAGAUCAACGGCGAGAACUCAAAAAGUGAAUUGAAGCGGUACUUAGCUGAAGAAAUGAGACACUUCAACAGAUUCAGGCCCAGCUCCUGACAGGUAGGCAUUGGGGUUAGGUUUUGUACCGUAUGUGACCAAAGGAGAAAACAAGCACGAUCGAUGCCAAAAGCAAACCCCCAAGGUUAUAUUGUACAGUGAGUAAUGCUGGCGAAAAGAAGCUGUUAUGCAUAAAAUAACUGUAAAUUACAAAAUAAACUCAUAGCCUGAACAUUCAUUCUACCAAUUUGUGGUUACUGACUGAGUGUGAGAAUAAUCUUUUUUCGAUUUGUUCACAUGUCGAUCAUGCACCCUUUCAGCUCAAAUUAACGAACUAACCAGCCGACCUGACUAGUGGCGCCACAUGGACAGUCGACAAGAGACCGCCACCGACGGCACCAAAACGCAAGCGGACCGCCGAGACAAGAACUGCACGGCGGACCUGCGGUUCACGCUGCUGCCGCUUGAGCCAUCUUGGUGUCCUACGCGGAUCGGCCCGCACCACUUGAUUGCAAUAGAGAGCCAACAAGUAUGGGAUACUAGGAGUAUAUAUAUGGGUGUUUUAGAGAAAAAUACACUUUGGUUCUUGGUUGUAUAUGCAUCCUGAAGAUUUAUAUUUAAUAAUUAAUUNNNNNNNNNNNNNNNNNNNNNNNNNNNNNNNNNGUUUUAAAGUAUUUUUAGAUUAAACUUGAUUUUCUUUUGAGCUAGUAUAUAAAUUUUCACAAAAAAAACCAACAUUGACUUCUGGGUAAAAAAGACAAUUUAUUUGCUAUUAUAGAUCACUAUUCACAUUAUUUUAAUUAAAAAUUAUUAUUUUAUGAAACAAAGUCAAAGUGUAAUUUUAUUUUUGUGAAAUUUUAGACAAAUAUAGGCAGGAUAUGAAGGCUUGCGGACGCGCCAAUUCGCCAUGUAGGACGCGACCCCACCCGCAUUACCUUUUUUUUUUCUUUAUUCAUUAUUUUCUUUCUCUUUUUUCUUCUCCACAAUCACGUGCAAAUGAUCAGACAUAUUUGUCGGAUGUCGUCUUCCUGUCUGAGACGCAUCUGAACACGGUUAAGGCAAAAAAACUCCGAAAAAAGUUGAAGAUGGACAGUAUGGAGGUUCAUGGAAGCAUCGGGGCGAGUGGUCGCUUAUUGUUGUAUUGGCACACACCGAUGGUAAUACAACGGAGAGACUAAGACAAGAACUUUAUAGAUGUUACUGUUGGGGACGACAUGGAUGAGGCCUGAAGGUUUACAGGGUUCUAUGGUGAAUCGAAAUGGGAGGACAAGCACUGCUCAUGCUCUUGUUUGCGUGAUCUGCAUCAGUGGAUAAAUCUCCCUUGGAUGGUAGUGAUACGUCUCUAACGGAUCUAUAAUUUUUUAUGGUUCCAUGCUAUUAUCUUGUCAACUUUGGAUAUUUUGUAUGCAUUUUAUAUCUUUUUUGGGACUAAUCUAUUAACUCAGUGCCAAGUGCCAGUUCCUGUUUUUUUCGUGUUUUUGACCUUUUUGAGACAAGAAUAUUAAACGGAGUCCAAACGGAAUAAAACCUCCGGAAUUUUUUUCGGAACAGAAGAUACGCAGGGAGCUUGAGAACCAAGGCAAAGGCUCCCGGGGGAGGCCACAAGCCCCCUAGCCGCGGCCGGGGGGGGGGGGGCGCCUAGCAGGCUGGUGGGCCCCCCGUGGCUCCUUUACCCUACUUCUUCCGCCUAUAAAUCCUUGAAAAUUCUGAAACCACGGAGGGGAGCCACAAAAAUACUUUUCCGCCGCCGCAAGCUUCUGUCUUCGCAAGAUCCCAUCUGGGCACGUUUUGCUGCCCUGCCGGAGGGGGGAUUCAGACACGAAGGGCUUCUUCAUCAACACCAUUGCCUCUCCGAUGAUGCGUGAGUAGUUCACCACAGACCUUCGGGUCCAUAGCUAGUAGCUAGAUGGCUUCUUCUCUCUCUUGGAUCUUCAAUACAAAGUUCUCCAUGAUCUUCAUGGAGAUCUAUCCGAUGUAAUCUUCUUUUACGGUGUGUUUGUCGAGAUCCGAUGAAUUGUGGAUUUAUGGUCAGAUUAUCUAUGAAUCUUAUUUGAGUUUCCUCUGAUCUCUUAUAUGCAUGAUUUCAUAUCCUUGUAAUUCUCUUCGAGUUGUGGGUUUCGUUUGGCCAACUUGAUCUAUAAUUCUUGCAAUGGGAGAAGUGCUUGGUUUUGGGUUCAUACCGUGCGGUGACCUCACUCAGUGACAGAAGGGGUAGCAAGGCACGCAUCGUGUUGUUGCCAUCAAGGGUAAAAAGAUGGGGUUUAUAUCUAUUGCAUGAAUUGAUCCCUCUACAUCAUGUCAUCUUGCUUAAGGCGUUACUCUGUUUGUUAUGAACUCAAUACACUAGAUGCAUGCUGGAUAGCGGUCGAUGUGUGGAGUAAUAGUAGUAGAUGCAGAAAGUAUCGGUCUACUUGUCUCGGACGUGAUGCCUAUAUGUAUGAUCAUUGCCUUAGAUAUCGUCAUGACUUUGCGCACGAUCCAUGAGCGAUAUCAAUGCAGUGACAGUCCUUACUAUUGAGUCGUGUGCUGGUAAGAUGACAACGCUCUAAAAGGUUUGUUUAAGAAAGCAAUCAUAUCCCGUCCCGUUCUAUCAAUUGCUCGAUAGUAAUUCGUUCACCCACCGUAAUAUUUGCUAUCAUGAGAGAAGCCUCUAGUGAACACUAUGGUCCUCGGGUCUACUUCACAUCAUAUUUCAGCUCUACACUCUUACUUUGUUGCACUUUCCACCUUCAAAUCUCACCUUGCAAUAAAUUGUGAAGGGAUUUACAACCCCUUUGUAGCGUUGGGUGCAAGUUUGCUGUUUUUGCGCAGGUACUUUGGAGACUUGCCUUGAUACUCCUACUGGAUUGAUACCUUGGUUCUCAAACUGAGGGAAAUACUUAUUGCUAUUGUGUUGCAUCACCCUUUCCUUUUCAAGGGAAAAACCAACGCAAGCUCAAGAGGUGGCAAGAAGAAUUUCUGGCGCCCUUGCCGGGGAGUAUCAAGUCAAGAAUAGUCUUCCUUCAACGUGUCAAUUUCUGGCACCGGGGACUGUUCGAAGUUAAGCUCAUCCAAGUAACUGUCGCAAACUCAUCUCUUGCAUUUUUUUUGCCUCUCGUUUUCCUCUCUCCACUUCUGAAAAACAAAAAUUUACAAAAAUAUUUGCCUUUUUCGUUUGCCCUUUUCUUUCGCUUGCUUUCUGCUUGCCUGUGUGGAAUAGUCUACCUGUCCUCAUGGCUAGACCUACCGCUUCGAACGAUACUCCCGAGGGCGAAGUUCUCAAUUUCAAACAAAAUGAGGGAGAAAACUUAAAGGAUGCUUGGUAUAGGAUUUGCAAUGCUCAGAGUAGAUCUACUCGUAAGCAAUCUACUACCGUCCUACUUCGCAACUUUUAUGUGGGUAUUUCCCCUUGGAAUAGGUAUGUUCUUGACACCAUCGUAGGCGGAAAUUUCUUGGGUAGCCAUACCGUUGAUUCUUACGGUGCUUUAAUAAAUUUGGUAGGCUCACCCCCACUCAUGGUUAAUGGAACUACCUUAACUUUGGAUCAUGUGAUGCGUAGGCUGGAUAUCAUUGAAAAUAAAGUUGCUACGAUUGAACUCAUUGAAAAUUUGGAUAAAAAGAUCCACAAUCAAAUCACUCAGUAUGGAUCCAAGGUGGGAAUGACUUUGAAAAAUUUAAAAGAGAGGGAACCCACAGUUAACGAAAAACUAGGUCAUGAUUCCGCUAGGAUUGGCAAACUAGAGGAUAUUAUAACCAACUUGGGUUCCGCUUUUGCUGCUCUGCAGAACACUCCAAAUUUUGCCCACAAUAAGGCCACAAAGUCUGUUUUUGUUCCUAAAAAUAAUGGUGAACCAUCUAGUAAGAGAGAUGAAGAUCUUAAGAUGAUGAGUGUUCACCCUACUUAUGGUUUGAGCACCAAAGACGACGAUACGUGAUUAUAUCGCCUUAUGCCUAGCUAAGGGCGUUAAACAAUAGCGCUUGUUGGAAGGCAACCCAACGAAUUUAUCUUUGCUUUUUUGCUUUCUGUUUUGUUGCGUCCACACCAUCAUAAUUAUGUUAUGAUUGUUUUUUGUGUUUGAGCCAAGUAAAACCUUUAUGACUAAGUUUUGGUGAUGGUUGUUUGAUCGUGCUGAAAAAGACAGAAACGUUUUGCUCACGAAAUUAUUUUUCAUUCUUAUCCAGAAAGAGCUUUUGAGUUGAUUCUUUUUGCUGAUGGUUGAUAUGCCAAUUUCCCAAAUUGUUGUAAGUUUUCAGAAUUUUUGAGAUACCAUAAGUAUACGAAGUAUACAGAUUGCUACAAACUGGUCUGUUUUUGACAGAUUCUGUUUUUGUUGUGUUGAUUGCUUAUUUUGAUGAAAUUAUGGAUAGUAUCGGGGGUACUAGCCAUGGAAAAGUGAGAAUACAAUAAUAAAACACCAAUAUAAAUAGAAAUCAAGUUUGCUACAGUACCUAAAGAGUUGGUAGCUUGUUUUCUUGUGCUAAUGAUAUCACGAGUUUCUGUUUAAGUUUUGUGUUGUGAAGUUUUCAAGUUUUGGGUGGUGUUCUCAUGGACAAUGGGAUGAAGAGUGGAAAGAGCUCAAGCUUGGGGAUGCCCAAGGUAUCCCAAGACAAAUUCAAGGACACCAAAAAGCCUAAGCUUGGGGAUGCCCCGGGAAGGCAUCCCCUCUUUCGUCUUCAAUCCAUCGGUAACGUUACUUGAAGCUAUAUUUUUAUUCACCACAUGAUAUGUGUUUUGCUUGGAGCGUCGUGUAUUAUAGGAGUCUUUUCUUUUUGUUUUGUCACAAGCAUCCUUGCUGCACACCUUUUGAGAUAGACAUGCACUCAUCGUGAAUUUUCUAGAAUACUCAUUGAGCUUCGCUUAUAUCUUUUGAGUUAGGCAAUUUAGCUCGCAUGUGCUUCACUUAUAUCUUUUGAGCUAGAUAACUUUGCUCUAAAUGCUUCACUUAGAUCUUUUUUAGAGCACAACGGUGUCAUAUUUUGGAGAAAUAAGAACUCUCGAUCUUCACUUAUAUAUUUUUGAGAGUGCUCUCUAUGAGAAACUUGGUAAUUGGCUUGUGCUAUGAAAGUAGUCCUAAAGAUGAUAGGCAUUCAAAGAUGAUAUAAUAAAAACUUCCAUAUUUAUGUGCAUUGAUUAGUAAAGAGAAGUUUGAUUCCUCUCAAUUAGUUUUGAGACAUGGAUUUGGUGAUAUUAGAGUUAUGUUAGUAGGGUGUUGUGAAUCUAGAAAUACUUGUGUUGAAGUUAGUGAUUCCUGUAACAUGCACAUAUGAUGAACCGCUAUGUUAGGAAGUCGGAGCAUAAUUGAUUUAUUGAUUGUCAUCCUUUGUGUUCCAGUUGGGAUCGCGCGAUGGUUAAUACCUACCAACCCUUCCCCUAGGAGUAUGUGUUUAGCACUUUGUUUUGAUUACUAAUUAAAACUUUCGCAAUAAGUAUAUGAGUUCUUCAUGACUAAUGUGAGUCCAUGGUAUAGAUGCACUUUCACCUUCCACCAUUGCUAGCCUCUCUAGUGCCGCGCAACUUUUACCGGUGCACAAACCCACCAUAUACCUUCCUCAAAACAGUCACCAUACCUACCUACUAUGGCGUUUUCAUAGCCAUUCCGAGAUAUAUUGCCAUGCAACUCCCACCGUUCCGUCUCAUGACUUGUGCCGUCACUUUCAUAUUUCCAUUGCAUGAUCGUAAGAUAGAUAGCGAGAUGUUUCAACGUCAUACGCUAAGCUAGAUCGUUGCACAUCCCGGUACACUGCCGGAGGCAUUUCCUAUAGAGUCAUCAUUGCUCUAAGCAGUGAGCUCCGAGUAAAUAAAAGUGUGAUGAUCAUCAUUAUUAGAGCAUUGUCCCAUGUGAGGAAAUAAAAAAAAUGGAAAGAGACCAAAGAUCCCAAACAAAAAAAGAGAGAAAAAGAGAGAAGGGACAAUGCUACUAUCUUUUUCCACACUUGUGCUUCAACAAUAAGCACCAUGUUCUUCAUGAUAGAGAGUCUCUUGUUUUGACACUUCCUUAUGCUAGUGGGAAUUAUCAUUAUAUAACCUGGCUUGUAUAUUCCAAUGAUGGGCUUCCUCAAAAUUGCCCUACGUCUACGUGAGCAAGCAAGUUGGGUGCACACCCACUAGUUUUCCUUUUGAGCUUUCACACACUUAUAGCUCUACGUGCAUCCGUUGCAUGGUAAUCCCUACUCAUUCACAUUUAUAUCUAUUGAUGGGCAUCUCCAUAGCCCUUUGAUACGCCGAGUCCAUGUGACCAUCUCCUCCUUUUUGCCUCACAACCUCCACCACACUCUAUUCCACCUAUAGUGCUAUAUCCAUGGCUCAUGCUCAUACAUUGCGUGGGAGUUGAAAAAGGUUUGAGAAAGUAAGAGUGCGAAAACAAUUACUUGGCCAAUACCGGGGUUGUGCAUGAUUUAAAUUCGUUGUGUGGGGAUGAUGGAGCAUAGCCAGACUAUAUGAUUUUGGAGGGAUAACUUUAUUUGGCCUUGUUUUUUCAAAAGUUCAUGAUUACCAUGCUAGUUUGCUUGAAGUAUUAUUGUUUUCAUGUCAAUAGCAAACUAUUGUUUUGAAUCUUACGGAUCUGAGCAUUCAUGUCACAUGAAAGAAGUUGCAAAGGACAAAUAUGGUAGGUACCAUUCCACAUCAAAAUUUCAGUCUUUAUCACUUCCCUACUCGAGGACGAGGAGGAUUUAAGCUUGGGGAUGCUUGAUACGUCUCCAACGUAUCUAUAAUUUUUUAUGGUUCCAUGCUAUUAUCUUGUCAACUUUGGAUGUUUUGUAUGCAUUUUAUAUCUUUUUUGGGACUAAUCUAUUAACUCAGUGCCAAGUGCCAGUUCCUGUUUUUUCCGUGUUUUUGACCUUUUUAAGAGGAGAAUAUUAAACGGAGUCCAAACGGAAUAAAACCUUCGGAAAGAUUUUUUCCGGAACACAAGAUACGCAGGGAGCUUGAGAACCAAGGCAAAGGCUCCCGGGGGAGGCCACAAGCCCCCUAGCCGCGGCCUGGGGGGCGCCAAGCAGGCUUGUGGGCCCCCCGUGGCUCCUUUGCCCUACUUCUUCCGCCUAUAAAUCCGCGAAAAUUCUGAAACCACGGAGGGGAGCCACGAAUAUACUUUUCCGCCGCCGCAAGGUUCUGUCUCCGCAAGAUCCCAUCUAGGCACGUUCUGGUGCCUUGCCGGAGGGGGGAUUCGGACACGGAGGGCUUCUUCAUCAACACCAUUGCCUCUCCGAUGAUGCAUGAGUAGUUCACCACAGACCUUCGGGUCCAUAGCUAGUAGCUAGAUGGCUUCUUCUCUCUCUUGGAUCUUCAAUACAAAGUUCUCCAUGAUCUUCAUGGAGAUCUAUCGGAUGUAAUCUUCUUUUGCGGUGUGUUUGUCGAGAUCCGAUGAAUUGUGGAUUUAUGAUCAGAUUAUGUAUGAAUCUUAUUUGGGUUUCCUCUCAUCUCUUAUAUGCAUGAUUUCAUAUCCUUGUAAUUCUCUUCGAGUUGUGGGUUUCGUUUGGCCAACUGGAUCUAUAAUUCUUGCAAUGGGAGAAGUGCUUGGUUUUGGGUUCAUACCGUGCGGUGACCUCACAGAGUGAUAGAAGAGGUAGUGCGGCACGCAUCGUGUUGUUGCCAUCAAGGGUAAAAAGAUGGGGUUUAUAUCUAUUGCAUGAAUUUAUCCCUCUACAUCAUGUCAUCUUGCUUAAGGCGUUACUCUGUUGAUUAUGAACUCAAUACACUAGAUGCAUGCUGGAUAGCAGUCGAUGUGUGGAGUAAUAGUAGUAGAUGCAGAAAGUAUCGGUCUACUUGUCUCGGACGUGAUGCCUAUAUGUAUGAUCAUUGCCUUAGAUAUCGUCAUGACUUUGCGCGGUUCUAUCAAUUGCUCGACAGUAAUUCGUUCACCCACCGUAAUAUUUGCUAUCAUGAGAGAAGCCUCUAGUGAACAUAUGGCCCUCGGGUCUACUUCACAUCAUAUUUCAGCUCUACACUCUUACUUUGUUGCACUUUCCACCUUCAUAUCUCACCUUGCAAUCAAUCGUGAAGGGAUUGACAACCCCUUUGUAGCGUUGGGUGCAUGUUUUCUGUUUUUGCGCAGGUACUUUAGAGACUUGCCUUGAUACACCUACUGGAUUGAUACCUUGGUUCUCAAACUGAGGAAAAUACUUACUGCUACUGUGCUGCAUCAUCCUUUUCUCUUCAAGGGAAAAACCAACGCAAGCUCAAGAGGUAGCAGGUAGCGGGGGACUUUAAUGAGAUUUUAUACUCUCAUGAGAAGGAGGGUGGUGCAGCUAGACUGAUGCAAAUGAUGCAAAACUUCAAGGAUACUCUUGUUGAUUGUGAGUUCGAAGAUAUGUGUGUAGUGAAGAUCUAUAUACUUGGAGAAGAAGGAGGCUAAGAGAGCGCCUGGAUAGAGUGGUUUGUAAUUGUCAAUUCCAUGGGCUAUUCUCUAACGUGAGAGUCACUAACACUACACAUACAAAGUCUGAUCAUUGAUCGAUUUUCAUGGAUACGGAGGGAGAUACCAAGGGGGUCAUCAACAAACCCACUAUAGAUGCUUCGAGUCCAGGUGACUUCAAAAGGAGAAUGUAAUGCAAAUUGUGACUGAGGCUUGGGAGAUUAUACUGGGCCUUGUGGUGCUGUCAUGCGUGGUCAUCGCCGAUCUAUAAUGUCGGCAUACACGGCAAGACUGGAACAUGUCACAGAUGUCUUCUCGGCAGAAGCGGCGGCUCUGCUUGAAGGUCUGAAGCUAGCAAGAGAUACAGGAUGCCAAAACUUGGUGGUGAGAUCAGACAAUAUUACUGUGGUGGAUGCAAUCAGGCGGAAUGAAGGAUAUUCCAUGGUAGCAACGCCAAUCCUUGAUGAAUGUCAUAGUUUCCUAGAAGAUUUCAGGAAGUUUACUGUUGAGCGUUGUAUUAAGGAGUCAAAUUCUGUAGCUCAUGAGCUGGCUAGAUGGGGUCAUGCUAAUAGUCCAUAUAGAUGGGUUGGGUUGAUGCUCCGCCUGAUUUUAUUGUAAUACAAUUGGCUGACGAUGUAUCUAUCCUUUGAUUAAUAAAGUAAGUUUUCAUGUAAAAAAACAAGUAAGUUCUAUUUGACUAGAAUAAGAGGUCAUGCGAGUUAGCUCAUAUAUAACCGUAAGGGUUUUGAGUGAUUUUUUGGCCAAUGAAAAUAAAAAUACCAUAUUCACUUUCGAGAAAGGCUUGACCUACAUCACUAUAAUGGCGACGAAAAAGAGUUUCUCCCGCUUUGUAUUACAAAGCAAUCAACCAUUACAUCCGACGAUAGGUGUUGGGGUAGAAACAACACAGUCACGCCCAAAAGAAAUGAAAAGGAAAAUACAAAAGAAACAAAUGCCGACACCGGCAGAUCAACAAAAAACGCAAAAGACUCGCGAUCGCUGCGCCCACCAAGAGUCUCCCACCAUGCUCCAGGUCUCCAAAGCAUCGGUACCCAUCAACACCUCCAAGAAGGAAUGCGACGAUGACGACGUUGUUGUCAAGGGUUUCCCCCGGUACGCGGGGAGGCACGAGGAAGGGUAGCCCCGACGUCCUCCAAGAAGGUUCGACGACACCCAUAGGCGUCACCGCAUCAGUGUCGGCCGGGCCGACAGGGGUUUUCCCGAUCCCAACCCGCACCUCUGACGCUCCGAAGCCUGCCACCAAACCGACCCACACCCUGCACCAACACGGUCUUGAGGCCCCUGUGCCAUCUCACCACGGCACCGUAAGGAGAGACCUGCACGGCGAUGAAAAUGAGCUGGGACUAGGAGCAGCAGCACCGUCGGCACGCGGGAGGGCUCAACCUCCACCGUCAAUGACGGUAGUCGAUCGGACGAAAUAGCAGGAGCAUACCAUGCCCGUGGGCCCAUUGGCUCAGCCGGGACCACCCCCUUUAAAGCUCCCGCCAUCGCGCUGCAACAGGCACGCCGUCGGCGACACCGCCCCCCGUCCAAGCUGCUCCUCCUCACCACCACGCAGAAGACAACGUAGCCACGCCGGGUGCCGACCUGCUAGGAUCCAUAUGGAGCCCGCGGGGCCAGAUCUGGGUCGAGGGGCGUCGUCGGCCACCCCGCACCACGACGCCGCUCUGUCACCAAGGAACGUCGCCGCCACCUCACCCGCCGCCGGGUCACUGGACCGCAGCCAGGCUGAGCUACACCGCCACCAUCCCCCGUCCCGGGAAGUGGGAACACACGCGUAAGGAAAGGACGACCUACAGCCGCCGACACCACCCGGGCCUGUGCUGGGGGCACCCACCGGCGGCGACUAGACGAAGGAUGAGGACGCCCGCGGGGAGGAACUCUAGCGUCGCCCCGGCCACCUCCCGGGGAGGCGACACGAGGGCGGAUCCGGGACAGGGGGAGGAGUGGGCAUUAAGUCACAUCACUAUAAUCAAAGGCUCAAGUUAAAAGGAUAUAAUUUAUGUAACCAAAUUACGGCGUGUGUUCUAAACAUGUAUAAGCUUGAUAAAAUUAAAUUAUGGAACAAUAGUUGCAUCAAUAUAGUGAAAUUCUCAACAACAACGAAAUAUCAAUAUAUUGCAAAGCAUAGGUCGUAUAUGUUCCGCUACGUAAAUGUAUGCUAGCUGCUAUGUCGACCAAAAUCAAGCGAGUGCUAGCAUUGGUGCAAACUCGGCUCAUUUUGAACCUGAGCUACAAAUUAAACAGACUAGCGUGUUGUACUAAUUUGUUUUGGAGUCAAUCUCCGGUGUAGCUAGCUAGAAGACGAGUCGCUGUGAGUGGCUUCGACUCGAGCUCUUUUGGCAGCCCUACCACUACCACUAGCGAUGGCAACGUGGUUUACGAUGUCCGCUACAACCGAAGGGCAGCUGGAUACGAGUUGCUUGAAUCCAUCGGUCUCCUGGAUGUCACCGAGCACACCAUGAGAGGACAGGAACCCAAGGCAUGCUUUCUUGAGCUGCACGCACUGGUGCUGCUCCGCUAGGGCAAGCGUGGUGGCAACUGUGUGCACGUCGAUGCUCUGGCAUAGCUUCUGCUCACACAUCGCCUUGAGCCUAUCCAGCCGAUACCGAUCGGCGGCAACGAACAAGUGUUGCAACGGCACAUUCUUGUCCACGCCACAGUACUGAUAUGGGAAGGCAUCCGUGUAGAUGAAGUGAAGAAGCGCCUGGAAGAUGGCGGGCUCCAUGUCGUCGUCGACCUUGAUGUGCCGAGUAUCAUCCUUCUCCUCCAUUCCAUUGAAGAGCUCCACCUUGAACACCGGCGAUCGUGCCGCGAGCAUGCAUCUGUGGGCGUGGAACAACUGGCCGCCCACGCUGAACGUCACGUCCUUGCCUUCCCCGUCCUCCAGCAUUUCGAUCAAGUGGCCGUGCAGGUUCGACCGGGGCACCACGACGGCGCUUCGUUCCUCCGUGCGGGGCGUGAUGACGGUCAAGACGCACCUGAUCGUGAAGCGGUCAUCGUUGGUAUGCUUCUUGGAGAAGAACCUGGUGUAGCCAUAGUAGCAACCCGGCAACACAAAGAUAUGUCUUAAGGCGCUUCUUUGUAUGCUUGUGUUCCCGUUUUUAUCCAGUAAACUCAAAGUGUAUUUGGCUCUCACGCCCGGCGGACAUGGUUCUCCUGUGCAUAGACACAAGUAGGCCGAGGUGUAGAAAGCAUCGUCCUCGGUUUGUCCGUCGGGGUAGAACCUGAUACACCAUUCGUAACCGCCGGCGUUGAACCUUCUCGAGCAAAUGUACUCGCCGGGACGAAAGCCGUCGAGCAGCGAGUAACUGGUGAUCUCGAAGUUGUGUGCCACGGUGACGGUGUCCGCCAGCGAUCUCGACGACGUCGUCUCCGACGGGUGCUCGUCGUCGUCGUGAUUAGCCGACGAGGCCGAGCUGCUAGACAUUUUUGUCGACUCAAGCGCGACGCCUCACGAACUCAGGGUCGUUGGCCUCGUAUAUCGUAUGUGUGAGACUUGGUCGUUGUUCUUUAUACACACACGUCGGUUGUGCCCAAAGUAAUAAGGAAUCCGAUAGCUGCUGGCAUACCGAACUCGAAUCGGAACAGAGCGGCAGAAGAACACGGACGCUUUUUGUUGUCCGUUGACGGAGACGGGCGCUGUGUCUGAGUGGGGAGACCCACACGGGCCUUCACAUGGGUCGGGCCCAGUGGCAAAACCUCUGUUUUUCGUUUCCUUUUCUCUGUUUAUAAAACUUUAUUUAUAAUGUGUUUUGGUUAAAACAGGCUAAUAUAUGUUGUGGUGGACCUUAUAUGAGGUGACAUGGGACGUGUGCAUGCUGAGACAAAUAGAAGCAAUGAGAACUAAUAAGAGCAUCUCCAACAGCCGCGCUUCGCGCCGCGCCCAAAAAACAUAUUUGCCGCGCGUCCAUCGCCUGGUUUGGCGCGUCGCGCAGCGCUGGCCCCAGCAGCGCGCAAAUAUAUAGCAUUUGGACACAAAAUAAGUUUGAAACAUUCAUCAAAAUGCAAUGAACAUGUGAAAUUUAACACAAACAAGUUGAUGAAUAAAAGUCAUGCCCACAAGUUCAUCCAACCAAGUUCAAAAUGCAAACCAAGUUCAAAAUACAAGUUCAUCCAACAAAGUUCAAGACAUAUACACAUCAAUCAUCUUCCUCGCCUUCUUCCUCUUCUUCCGAAGAUGAUUCUUCCGCCUUCGAAGAUGAAUCUUCCUCCCUAACCUCAUCACGCACCGCAUCACGUGUAGCUCCGACGGUCUUGGCAAGAUUUUCAACGACAUCUUCAUGGGUAUGUGUGUGAGGCACAUCGAAAGACAUUCCACCCAUGACCGGAGGUGCACCCAUGCCUAUCGCCCAACAUAUAGUCGUGGACCCAAGCAACAACUCAACCGAUCAAAAACACAGUCGCGCAUACCUAAUCGCCAUGAGGGUUUCCCUAAGCCCCAAUACAUAGUCGCUUGUCGCUCCGCAAACCAACUAAACGAGGGUGGGGGAAACCAAGCCGCCUACGGCCAUCAGCUACACCCUACCGCCCAACAUAUAUUCGUCAGACCAAAGCAACAACUCGACCAAUCAAACACACAAAGUUGCCCACACCUAAUGCCUCGACGGGCUCGUCUAAACCAAAAUACAUUGAUGCGCCCGCCGCCCCACAGACCAACUAACCGGGGAGGGGGGGGGGGGAGUGAACAAAGUCGCCUAUGGCUAUCGAAUGCACGGAGUCGCCCACCGACUAGCAUAUAGUUACUGGACCCAAGGAACAACUCGACCAAUCCGACACACAAAGUCGCCCACACCAAAUCCCAGGAUGGGGUCCCCUAAGCCCCAAUACAUAGUCGCCCCGCCACUUCGCAAACCAACUAGCUGACGAGUUAGCAAACAGGAGAGCGAGGCAUUUUCAACUUUUACAAGAGUAUUAUUUUGAGCAACUUCUGUUUAAAUUUUUAUAUGGAACUUUUCUUUUUUCAGUUCGUCACUUUUUCAGUUCAUCACUUCUCAUCAAGGAUAUAUGCAUAAGGGUAUUUUUUUCAACAACUCUUCCCAGUUCUAUUUCCCCUGAGCAACUGCACUACUUUUCUUAGGUUUUCUGCAGAUUUUUUGUAACCAACUACUAUGCUUUUAUCCUUGCAGAGGCAGGGUUCAAGACAAUAAACAAUACAAAACAAGAACUCAGAAACUUCUCUAGCAUUCAAGUUCAACGGGGGACCAAGAACAGACAGAAAUAUUGCAAAGAUCAAAAUUCAGUUGCAAACACGUGGGGCUACAGAAGAAUUUUUGCAAAUUGAAGUAUAUCGCAUAGGAAGUACAGAGGGAGAGUUCCAAAACUCCAAAUUGAAUGUGUGAAACUAGAUGAUGCUCUUUUCUUUUUGCCAAAAUAGGGUCCUUAUCUGGCCUGAUGUAUUUAUGGGGAGAAUGGUUUAAUGCAUGGUAAUUUAUUGCAUAAUAUUUUUCAUAGUUUUGCCUGAUCCAAAACAUUGUUGCGGGCAAAUUCGUGUUGCUGGCCUGAAUUUUUUGUGUUUUGCUCUGCAGUAGUUCCCUGUUGCCUAGGCCAUAGCGUGCAGCAGCGGCGACUGUUAGAAAUAGUGAGGGGAGGGGGAUGAAGAGUUGCAAGGAUCUGUGCGGGUGGUGCUGUGUGUUUUUUUGGGCAGGACGUGGUAAACUGGUAAUCAUGGAGGGAAUGAAACUUCCUAUUUUUUGGGAAGGGGGACUGCACGUGAGGCAGUUUUCUAAAAUGGGGUGGCCGCUAGAUCCUGCUGCACAGCAAGCGCCCUAUGUAGGAAGGUGUUUGUUUCCAGGGACUUUUUGGUGUAGGGACUAAAAAAAGUCUUAAAAAAGACUUUUAAGUUGGGACUAAAAAAAAGUCCCGGGACUUCUCAAACAAAUAGGGUCGUAACGGCGUCUUUUUUUUAGACCCUAGGACUAAAAAAAAAUCUAGUCCCUUAAAAAGAAACAUCACCUAAGGCUGCUCAUAAUGGGGAGUAACUAGGAGUAGUAACAUAAUGUUGUUACUACUCUAUGUUACUACCUCCAUAGUGGGGAGUAACAUACAUGUGGUGUCAUGCAAACUAGCAUUUAUUAGGUUAUAGACACAUAAUGCAUUGAAAUAUGUGAUGUGAUGGUAACUAGCUAUGUUACUACCACCAUCUCUCUCCGCAUUAAUUACUUGCCACGUCAGAUUUUUUACCUACGUGACGUUGAUGUUACUACUUAGGGCAUCUUCAAUGGUUGUAAGAUAGUUGUUGGUAAUUUUGACACAUAGGAUUUUUGAUGAUGUGUCAUUGCAAUAAAUGAGGAAAGAGAACAAGGUUGUAUGUAAAUUAACCAACACCCUUGCACAAGCUCCAAUGUAGAAUGAGAGAGCACCUUAUUUAUUACCUCACAUCUUAUUGGGCAAACUAGAUACAACCCAUUGGAGUAGUUGUAUGUUAAGGUGUUGGCUGAUGACAUGACAUAUUUUACCAACAAGCUAACCAACAAACUGUUGGAGAUGCCCUUAGUUACUUCCCACUAUGGCUAGUCUAAGUGGUUCUAUGGCCUCCACAUUACCACAUAGGGAAACGUCUCAUAGCAUCUGUAGGAGGUGUCUUCACGCGGUGCCAUGUUUGCAAUGAGUGUCCCCUUACCCCGAUGGCCAACACGCACCACCUCAUUGCUCGUCGGUGUCCGUCCAAAAGACGGCAUGCUGUGCCUAUAAUACGAAAGCCCUUCACAUGCCAGAACGUACUCACCGAAUACAAAGUGCCACCAGGGGAUAUCUUGCCCGAAGUUGAAGCGCACGCUCCACCGUUGCCCUUCCUCCAGAACCCAUACAUUAGGGCAGGUGAUAAAUGCGAGCCUUCCAUGCACCUUCGUCAGAGCUUGUUCGGUUAAUCCCCACCACAAAGGGAUUGAAGGGGUUUGAGGUGGAUUUUGGCUUGCUGGGGAUUUAAUCCCUUUCAAUCCCCUUCAAACCCCUUGAAAUCCUGUGGAACCGAACAAGGCCUCAGGCGGUAGUGAUCACUCCGGACUGGCAGGGUAUGGUGGUGGAGACGACGCGUUCGUCCUUGAGGUCGAACGACAUGAUCUUUGCGCCGCCACCUCCGGUGACCCUAACCCAGUAUGUCAUGUCGACGACGCUUACGAUACCGGCGGCAGGCCUGGUAAUCGCGUCGUCGGGCUCGACGGGCACCUCCCGCCAUGCAGCCUCCCCAACUGAAAGACCUAGAAAGACUCUACCCUCUAAAUCUAGUGUAUUUCCUUUUUUUAAGGGAAAUGUAGUAUAUUUCUUGGUGGCAUCAUAUGCGUGCAGUUUAAUUCAGAGUACUAGCGCCUCCUUUAUCUAUUUAGGCCCUGUUUGAAACCUAUUAUAUAAUUCAUUUUUUAUAAUCUGUCAUGUCUCCAAACAAGACAGAUUAUGGUGUAGAUUAUAAAAUUAGAUGGAUAAAUUAUUAAAAACUCACAAUCUACUCUACCCCAGCUAAAAUCAGAUUAUGAAUUGCUAAUGACCCAUUACCCUUGUAAAGUUGGAGAUAAUUACAUUCCUGUCACCGCCACCCUCCUCUUUCUUAAAAAAAGGGCAGACAGAUCAUUAUGCAAUGUAAAAUCUGGAUUACAGUUUAUAUAAUCUGGCCUCCAAACAUGCCCACCUAGAUUAUUUUUAUUAUAAUCUAUUGUGGUUCCAAACAGGGCCUUAUUUUGAUGCAAUAUUUAUCUGCCCGUUCCGUUCCCAGACCCCACCUUGUGUGGAAUCUUCUAUGCAUUGGGUCUGUCAUUUUUAAUUAUCUGUCCAUUCCAAAUUAGGGGACUAACAAUAAAUGUAUGAUCUAUGAACACCUCCUUGAUAUCAAUUUAUCAUUGUAUCUCCAACCUGGCUAUUUUAGCAAUUCUUGUAUUUAUGUUAUCAAUACAUUCCUCCAGUAUUUCAAUGACCCAUGGAGCAAAGAUAACUAGAAGAACAAUAAUCGAAGCAGACCACAGUUAGAGGAAUACCAUGAAGAAAGAGUUAUUCUCAAAUUGGAGAGUGAUGAGAUUUCGACAAUUAUAUGGCAACUCUGUAUACAAAAAUGCCCAGGCAGAAGAUCUGAUACUAUAUGCUGCAAACAGCGCAGCAACCUAAAAUUAUAUCUGGCUGCCCAAAACAAUGUGAUAUAACUAACAGAAGUAAAACUACAGUAUAGUCAUCAAAGGAAGUCAAUCUUCAAUCAACCAAGCAAUGCACCGAGUACCUCUUCAAGGCCAAAGCUACAGUUCUAACUUCUGGCUGCCCAACUGGCUGAGCAUGAUCGCCAUGUCCAUACCCUGAGUCAUCGUCGCCAUAGCCAAUUCAUACGGGCAUUUCUUGGAGAAGCCGACCUUGCCAGCCUUCUUCACUUUCCUCAUGCAGUUUUUGAACUUCUCAUGGCAUUUGAUACUCAUCAGGCCUGAUAAAUUUGCAUUUAUGCAAAGAAAAAGAACCAUGAGACUGCGGAUUCAGAGUACAGAUCUUCAGAUAAACAGCUUGAGUGCAAACUUUCUUUCGCAUCACAAGCAUCAUAUUUCCAUUGUGUUUCAUGCAUGCAUGUUACAGAGAAACUGGUUAUCCAUGGUGCAAGAAAAAGAAAGCAACAUAAUUAUAGAUUUAUAUGAAUGUGAGGAAUGCACCGAUUGAUCUGGCGGGUGUCAUCUUUCACCUGAAGGUAAAAAGAGGUGCCAUCUGUACAAUACUAUGACACAUGUAAUUUAACAGGGAACUGCAAAGCCGUGAAGACACAGCCACAGAUCAGCAAAUACUCCGUAUAAAAUAAAAUGAUUGACUAAAAACUGUGACUUGUCACUUGUCCCAAUGCCAUAUAAUUAUAGGAAUGUGGAGAUGGCAUUAAUCGAUAUGGCGGGUGCUGUCCGUCGUUUGGAGGUAAAGUAGUGUGACCCAUGGCAACCUGGUGCAAUGUUGAACAUCCACUGGGUGUGGAUGCUACAGAGCCGUGCAGUUUACCUAAACCACACACAAUUUUUCACUGAGCGACAGAUGGGCGAAAACAUCAGUUCAUAUAUGCAAUUGUGAACCAAACUGCCGCUGCAUUUGCCAUUACUAAAUGACAGAGCAGAGUAGAGCCAGCAACAAUUGAAAGUCUGAAUUCUGAAACUGUGUAGCCAUUGCUCAUCUUAUCAACUGUCAGUACCAUUCGAAUUCACAUGUCCAAACAAUACAUUACAGCGUAUCGUUGUUCAUGGCGGCCAGGGUUUGUGCAAUCCAGAUGCCAUUGUUUCUUUCUGAAGCAGGAUGAUGUAUGUAUGUAUGCAUAGUAGUACCUUUCUUGUCGACGCAGUGGUCGUGGUCGCGGCAGCAGGCGUCGAGGUCGUCGCAGGGCUCUUCCCCCUCGCACCCGCUCCACCCCACGCCGCAGAACUUGCCGUACCGGAUCCCCACCGCUGCCACCCAUCCAAUCCCAUCCAUGGUCAGAGCAUCCUCAGAUCAGANNNNNNNNNNNNNNNNNNNNNNNNNNNNNNNNNNNNNNNNNNNNNNNNNNNNNNNNNNNNNNNNNNNNNNNNNNNNNNNNNNNNNNNNNNNNNNNNNNNNNNNNNNNNNNNNNNNNNNNNNNNNNNNNNNNNNNNNNNNNNNNNNNNNNNNNNNNNNNNNNNNNNNNNNNNNNNNNNNNNNNNNNNNNNNNNNNNNNNNNNNNNNNNNNNNNNNNNNNNNNNNNNNNNNNNNNNNNNNNNNNNNNNNNNNNNNNNNNNNNNNNNNNNNNNNNNNNNNNNNNNNNNNNNNNNNNNNNNNNNNNNNNNNNNNNNNNNNNNNNNNNNNNNNNNNNNNNNNNNNNNNNNNNNNNNNNNNNNNNNNNNNNNNNNNNNNNNNNNNNNNNNNNNNNNNNNNNNNNNNNNNNNNNNNNNNNNNNNNNNNNNNNNNNNNNNNNNNNNNNNNNNNNNNNNNNNNNNNNNNNNNNNNNNNNNNNNNNNNNNNNNNNNNNNNNNNNNNNNNNNNNNNNNNNNNNNNNNNNNNNNNNNNNNNNNNNNNNNNNNNNNNNNNNNNNNNNNNNNNNNNNNNNNNNNNNNNNNNNNNNNNNNNNNNNNNNNNNNNNNNNNNNNNNNNNNNNNNNNNNNNNNNNNNNNNNNNNNNNNNNNNNNNNNNNNNNNNNNNNNNNNNNNNNNNNNNNNNNNNNNNGCGGAGCUAUGAGCCUUUCCGCCUUGUCCAGCUCCCCUGCCCGCCCGCACUCGACCUCUGCUUCGUCCUCGUCACCCCUGAGUUCGAGGCGCCCACCAGCAAGAUGCGAGCUGCCCUGCCCAAGAAUGUCGCCCUCGGCCACCAUGUCCGCAAUUCCAGCCAGGCCGCUGCGCUCGUCGCUGCCGUGCUGCAGGGUGACGCCGCACUCAUCGGUUCCGCAAUGUCCUCUGACUUCAUCGUCGAGCCCACCAGGGCACCGCUGAUUCCCGGCAUGGCCGCGGUGAAGGCCGCCGCUCUGGAAGCCGGAGCACUGGGAUGCACCAUCAGCGGAGCGGGCCCAACCGCUGUGGCUGUAAUCGAGGGAGAGGAGAAGGGGGAGGAGAUCGCCCAGAGGAUGGUUGAGGCCUUCCUUUCAGCGGGGAAGCUGAAAGCCACCGCCACCAUCGCACAGCUUGAUAGAGAUGGCGCCAGGGUUAUCUCCACCUCAAGUUUUGAGUAGGAAGGUACAUUGUCUUGUUUGUGUGUCUAUUACUCUGAUUGAACAUUUUUGUCCGUGAUUCGGUGCGGUAGAUGUUUGGAGGUUCUCCCAAAUUAGUCUAUUACCACUCAGUUGUUGGUCCUAAUUGUUUGUUAAAAAUUCUGAAUGAGUGAAAGUAAGAUCUGUGAAUCGAUUUAUCAUUUAAUGUGAAAUUGUAAUCAUAUUAUCCAUCCCUGACCGAGUUGCUCAACUUGUUGGACAGCAGCCUCAAAGCAACAUGGCGAUGUAUCAUUCCCUCUGUUAACAUUUUUGUUUUGUUUCAUGGAUGGUUUAAACUUUUAUGAAUCUAUAAACCUGUGCGAUUUGUUGGUUCCCCUGUGUCUACCGUAACCAUUUCAACAUAUUUAUUAGUGAUAUUUUAGAUUUCUGUUGCUAGCUGUGGUCAGUCCAAGGAGGCAAUAACUAAGGAUGCACUAGUUAGGUGAUAGGUUCUGUAUGAACCAUAAGGAUCAGGGGGUACUGGUAAGGAAGAGGGGCAGAAGGCUGGAUGUUUUCGCUGUGCUCAACCCAGGAAUGUAGUGAAAGAGUGUAAAACUGUCCUGUUUUGUCACAGUCAGAUAGGUGUAAAACUGUCCUGUUUUGUAUUCACCGUGGAAUUGGAUUUUAAGACAAAAAAUGUUGGGACAGUAGCAGGUAACUGGAGUCAAGGAAAUAAAUAAACAAUCUGCAAAAGGUGCAGAAUGUUGGAUGGUGUGGAAUGCUCAGAUACUGACAGUGGAAGUAGUGCCUCAUAGUGCUAAUAACCAGGGGCUCUCUCAGGAUAUGCAGGAUGGUCCGGACAGCUUUGCAAGAGGACUGGGGCUUAGUACACAGGUGAUUGCAGAGGUAAACAGAGGACUUGAUGAGGAGCAGGAGGCUAUAGGAUAACAACUGGUUGGAGGUGAUUUGGGGGAGGAAAUUCAAAUAGAGACCAGAUCUUACAAGCAAAAAAAAGUGGAGCUUGGAGGUGUAUUAGAAAUGUCAGCAAGGAAAAGGAUAAUAUAGUAGAUGAGAAUAGGAGGAGGACUAGCAGGAAUGUGCCAGACCAGCAUGUAAUGGAGAAAGCAAUGGACAGGGCUAAGGUGAAGAAUUUGGAAGUUCCAAUUGGUGAGUCUACUUCCUUCAAUUUUCCUACAGUUUUAAAUACUGCACAUGAAAAACUAGUAAGUGUAGCUGCUACUACAGGUGUUAAAUUAGGUGGAAAUUAAGGAAUCUGUAGAAGUUUUAAAGAAACUAGAAGAAGCUAGGCGCAAUUUGUUUGAAGCUAGUUCUGGUAAGAACAGUAAAGAUUUGUUUUGUAGUGGCUCUAAGAAAAAAAAGUCUUAAUGUAGCUAGAGGUAUGGGGGAGGCUGAUAAAGUAAAGUUUUUUAAAGAAACUACUGUAGAGGAUACCAUUUUAUCUGUAGGUGUGCAGGAAACAAAGCCAACUAGUUAUGGUGCUGAUUGGUUAAAUAAUAUUAGUGGUAGAAAUAAUUUUUCCUUGGUAUGUGUUCCAUCAGUAGGACUGAGUGGUGGUAUUAUGUUAGGAGUAGAUAGUGAUUGUUUUGAAGUAAUGGAAGCUGAAUCGGGUGAUUUUCAUGCUAGAAUGACAGUUUGAGAGGGAAGCUCUAAUAACAAAUGGAAUUUUGCUACUGUGUAUGGGGCUGCGCAUUGUAAAGACAAGGAAGCCUGUUUGAUUGAGCUAGUCCAUAUUUUUGUAAUGAGCUCCCUCUGUUAGUUGGAGGAGACUUUAAGUUGAUUAGGAAAAUUAGUGAUGGUAGUCGGGCUAGGAGAUUAAAUAAAUGGUCCAAUCUUUUGUUUUUACUAUUAUUGAGCAUUGUGAGUUUAAGGAGGUCGAGAUUGCAGGUGGUUGUUUUACUUGGUGUAAUAACCAUAGCUCUCCUUUUUUAAGAAAUACUCCCUCCGUCCCAAAAUUCUUGUCUUAGUUUUGUCUAGAAAUGAGUGUAUCUAAAUACUAAAGCGUGACUAGAUACAUUCCUAUCUAAACAAAUCUAAGACAAGAUUUUUGGGACGGAGGGAGUAGUAAUUGCAAAGAUUCAGAGGAAAAAUAGAGAAGAAUGCUGGAACAUGGAAAGGGAAACUGAUGUGUUCUGGCGAUAGAUUAUUACUCCCUCCGUUUCUAAAUAUAAGCCUUUUUAGAGAUUUUAAUACGGACUACAUACGGAUAUAUAUAGAUGUAUUUUAGUGUAGAUUCACUUAUUUUGCUCUGUAUGUAGUCCGCAUUGGAAUCUCUAAAAGGCUUAUAUUUAGUAACAGAGGGAGGAUUACUUAGAUCUUGUGUUAGUAAUCUGCCUUUAUAUAUUUUAUCUAUGUAUUAUCAAGAUGAGAAUGUUAAGAAGUAUCAUCUAGUCAAUUGGCAAGAGAUUUGUCAACCUAUAAAGCAAGGGGGGCUAGGGGUGUUAGACUUAUCUGUAAUGAAUACAUAUCUGCUUAGUAGAUAUCUGUGGAAGCUCGAAAAUGAGGAGGGUUUAUGGCAGGAGUUAAUUAGGAGUAAAUACCUUAGUUUCUGCAUUCACUAAAGUUCUAUUCUUCCGAUUUUUUCAGCCAGCUGAAUGUUGUCGCUCUUGCUGUUUUGGUUUGUGCACCUUGAUAUUUCCUUGUGUACCUCUCUAAGACAUGGUUGCUGAUUUCUUAUGUUAAUUUCUUCUGUAGUACUUCCUCUGCCUAGGUUUUUCAUUUGAAAAAUGCCGAGUCUGAGGCCUGAUGAUUAGCCUAAGAACGGAGAUCUGAAUCCAUUUUCCUGUUGCAGCCUGCUUGGCCGCUGUGCUUGAUUGAUGCCUCCCCUUCCUUGGUUUCUUGGCUGGGUUUCUCUCAGGAGUAAAUUACAAAAACUCCAACAUGCAUUCGGGCACAGACACACACUCAUGUACACAGAGCAGGCUAAAUGGGAUUCAGGAAGGGAUAUGUAGAAGCAAAUGCUCUGAAGGAUUUGGCAGAUCGAAUGAUUGCCCCCACAAGAUUCAUGUUAUGCUUGUUUAAGGAGCAUUUUAUUUUAGUUUGAGGCUGCCCGAUUUCCUUCCAUGGUUUAUUGCCCGGUGUUUUGCUGUAGAAAUCAUCAUGGAAAGAUUUGUUGAGUUCUGAACAGUCUGUCAAUUAGAGGUGGUUGUCAUCUUUGGACAUUAAGGUUAGCAAAUACGAGGAUACCUAAUAAUAUCUAUGUAGUAUUCGUCUAUAUCUGAUAAGGAACAUCGUGUGCUUGGCCAGCCUGAUGAUUAACCUUUGCACAAAUAAUGGAGAACUGAAUACUUUCUCAACUCCGUUGAAGCUCGCUUGGCUUUGCCUGCUGUGGUGGAUUGUACUCCCUCAUGUAAAUACUUUAAAACAAUUUUCUCUUAGGAAUAAAUGGGAUCAUGCAUGCAUUUACAUCUCAGAUCUUGCACCAGCCUUGCUAGGUGGGCUCCGGUGAGAGUGUCUGAAGAUAUAAAAAGUAUGAAGGCUUUGGCAAAUGAAGAGAAUGCCCAGUUCUGUUAAAAUCCUAGUUGAUGGGGUUUUGGAUUAUCAAUUUAUAUCAAAUGCACAACUUUUUGGAAAUAGUUGCUAUUUUCUUGUGACAUGUUGAGAUUUGCAGUUGAUUAUAUUGGCCUUGUCAUUGGAGCAUUCUGAUCAAGCUGCCUGAUGAUUUCCAAUUGUGUUCACUAAGAACUGGAGAUUUGAAUGCACUUCCCUGUGGAAGUCUGCAUGGCCAAUCUUGUGGAGUGGCUCUCCUAUUAGCUUGCCAGUGUUUCCUUGUAUACUGAGAGACUUUUGAUGUUGAGCAGCUUGACUUAACUCUUGAUUGACCUGGAAUUAGCAAGAUCAGAUAGGUGACUUGUGAUGGUUUGGCAUGGUCUAGUCAAAACAACAGUUUUCCAUCAGUUCUGCUGCCUUUUUGACCACAUCUCUCCAUUGAGGUCCUGUCACUUGUUUAAUCUGUUCUGGUGUGAAGUUGGAUGUAUUUUUUCAAUCAGAAAGUGUCUUAAUGUUGACAUGUUUUAAUCAGAGAAAAUAUCAUGCCUUGCUCAUUUGACCAUCAAAUGAUCAUAAAUGUGAUCUUUUUUCUUUUUGUAGGAACAGUAGCGCACAAGCAACACAAAAGCAAUGGUAUUUGAAACCAUUUAAUUAUAUUUGCCUAGUCAUGGUUUUCAUGUCCAAGCUGGAGUUAUGUUCUUAUUUUAACCUUUUCUUCUAAACCCUUUGCGCAGAAUGAUAUGGAAUAGCAGAGAUGCUGUCGUCAAGAUCAGAGGCACAUGGACUUGAUGUGCUUGAUGGUGAUGCUGUUGGGGAGAGGAGAAACUGGAUCUUGCGGCGCCAGGGCUCGUCCUCGACGAGCACCCCGUGGCGGGCCUCCUGGACGAUGGACUCCUUGGACAGGGCGAGGUCCAUGUCGUCCUAGUGGAAGAGUAGGUCGUUCUUUUGUUCAUUCUCCAGCUUUGAAUGUUGAAUCACGCCAAAACUACUGAUAUUCUAUUGUACCAGAGAACUAUCAUUUUGUUCAUUUUAUGGCAUAGAAAGUAUUGUCAAAUUAUCAUUUUGUUCUUAAUUGCAUGAGUGAUAAUUUUGUUACAGAUGAGAUGCAGCUUCUGAAUUUAACUGUAUGCAUGCAACAGUCGAUGUGACAAUUGUGCAAUUCGUACUGAGCAUUUAUGAACAGCAAAAGUGUUCAGUGUGUUGAUAGUAUUAGAGCAUAUCUCUAGCAAUCCCGCAACCGGCUGGCCCGCAAAAAACGUGUAAGGGUUUCCGCAAAACUUUGUUACGGACCGUGAAUGCUUCGUGCCGGAGGACUCGUGACAUCGUAAAUUUUGCAUAGCAUCAAAUAAAUUAGGCAUUUCAAUAAUAUAAAUUCAACUUACAAAUAUAUAAAUGGUCCAAAAAGCGAUUCACAAUACAAUAAUAAUUUUCAAUACAACAAAUGUUCAAAUUCAAAUAAUUAUUACAACACCAAAUUGUCUAAAUCAUACACGAAUGAAAAUGAAUAGAAAUGGGAUCUGUCGCUCCCCAUAGAGUUGCCACCAGUGCUCGAUAAGAUCAUAUUGGAGUUAGUGGUGCGAAUCACGGUUCUCAAUCUUCCGGUAGGUCUUAGGAAAAGCAUUGAUUUCAUCUUUCUAGCAUGCCCGACCAUCCUUUUAAUUCGUUCAUCGCCAUAAGCUCCUUUGUUUCUUCUUCGUUUGGAGCUCGAAGGUACUCCGGGCCAAAGACCAGGAUCAUUGCCUUCACAAAGAUACAAACACAUUUGAUGGUGGCAUCUUCACCAAUGCAAAGAGAUUCAUCCGUGUAGUCGGCCGGAACGCCAUAUGCAAUCACUCUCAUCGCCGUCGAUAUUUAUUGAUAUGCACUAAAGGCAAUCAAACUGGCAACAUUCUUACACUGAGUGAAGAAACGACAAUUUUUCUUGCAAGCCUCGAUGACAUGGACAAAAAGUGACCUACACAUUUGAUAUCGCCUACGAAAGAGGUGAGCCGGAUAUGUGAGUACCUCGGCGAAGUAGCUCUUCAUGAGCACCUUGUUGCCGAGAGCUCGGUUGCGGGGAAUGCAUUACCGACCGACUGUCAAUCCAUGCCGCUAUUUCUUCGGCCCCACCUCAAAUUCGUCGACGAGAUGAAAUAACACUAGGUUGUCAUCAUCAUUGUCGAGGAUCAAAUCUUCUAUUUCCUAAUCAUCGGACGAAGAUGACGAGGACGGAUUCCAAUCUACCUACAAAGCGAACACAAAACGCCAUGAAUUUCAUCGGAACCUACUCCGGCCAAAUUUAGCACGAACCGGUGGGUGUUGGACCUACCUCGCCCGAAGCAAAGCCGCGUCGCACCACCCCUUUCUUCUCCCCGCCGGUCGAAUCGAAGUUGUGUCGCACCGCCCCUUUCUUCUUCGGGGUGCCUGAAGCGAAGCCAAGCAGUGCCGCCCUUUUCUUCUCCCCUCCGGUCGAAGCUGCGGUGCGUUGCCCUCUUCCCCCAACAUGCGCCGGAACCAACCGGAUACGCAUACUACGAGCCCGCGCGCCGAGCUCCCAGGUCGAUCCAUGGCGCGGACGGCGGACACGAGCCGCAAACGUAAAUGGUCACCACUGUUAUCGAAACUAAGUGGAAUGGAUGUGGCGUUGGGUGGCGGAGCUUUCGGGCAGCGCAGGGCUACCGGAGGUAGCAACAGGGGGCUGGGAUGUGUGGCGGCGACGACGACGGGGAGUGGAGGUAGGAAAUGAAGCCGAUGGAAGUGAGUUCGCACCAAUGAAAAGGGAAACCUACAAAAGCGAGCGAAAUCCCGAAGAUACGAAGGAAUUGGACUCGUGAAUUCGGAAUCCAAAAAAAUUAUCAAAAUGGCUGGAUUUAGAAUAUGUGCUCGAAUUGGGUUUACAACUGCUGGCUAUAAGCCAUCUUAUAGCUAGCUUGUGCAAUAGUUAGCUGUAAAAGAGUACUACUUUUAUCAUAUAUAGCCCAUCUUUCAUUCUCACAAAACACCUAGGAGCACGUGCUAGAGCUAGCUCUUCAUGAAGAGCCCGCUUCCAUUCUCUUUCCUCUUCUCUCUCAUCCAACUCAGCAAAAAUAUAAUAUUUUAAUCCUUACAGCCUGCUGACUUACCUUAUUAUACUUGCUCUUAGGCUUAAGUCCCUUGUGUGUAGUGCUUAGUGCACGUGCUCAUUUGGAGCUUCCUCAUGUUUUCCUUUUCUGUGGUCGUGUUUUAUUUGAUCCUCUUUCUCUUCUUUUCAGAAAAGGUAACUGAUUCUUUGUAGUCGUCUGACCUUGUACAAACCGUGGGUUGUGCAACCGCUUGAGUGAUGGCUGGCUGAGGCUAGCAGGGACGUUUGUGCUCUAGAUCAUGGGUGGCAAAAUCGAUAAAAUUGAUCCCUAGACAAAACAAAUUCAAACCAUGUUUAAGAUAAAUUCAUUCAGCUGAUCCUUUUGUGUGGCGCCCGACAGUCGGGCGUCACACUACACUAUGUAACGCUUAGCAUAUGAGCGUUACAUUUUUGGCAAACGUGGCAUCCGGGACCACACUCCUGGUUGUGUGGCGCCUAAGAGAAAUGAGCCACACUACAUUGUGUGGCGCCUGACUGAAAGGAGUCACACUAUCUUAUAUUAAAACUGAUGUAACUUUUAAUCCGUACGUCCGAUGAAAACAUGCCUUAUAUGAAUAUUGUGUAAUUUUUUGUGUUCUACGCAAUGGCGACAUUUUCAGCUAUAUUAGGAUAACUUUUUAAUGAAAAAUCUGUUAUAAAAAUACAUCAUAGUAUAACUAACCAUAUUUGUUAAGACUUAAAUUUGGCAUGAUGAUAGCCAUUGGCCUAUAACUCUUAUGUAUUUGAAUCCUACAUGAGUUUUGCACUACAUAAUGUGUACGUUCACGUCAUGCUUAUGCUUUCCAUGUUAGUCAUCUUAAACAUGUUCAUGUCUUGCAUCUAAGUGACUAACAUGAUAUAAAUGAAAUUCCAUUACAGAAAGCUACAUUUUAUAACAUCCAUAGUAAAUCUAGUGAAGGAAGACCCAAUAUGUCUUGAGCAAGAAGAAUCACGGAGCCCAUCAAUCCACCACAUGCAACAUGUCUUGUGUUCUUGGUUUGUCCCCUUGCAUAUUGCAAUAUAUAGGAUAACACGUACCUUGCAAAAUUCAAAAGAGGCUUCUCCGAGUAAAAACCAACCGCUGGCAUAUCAUGUUGGUUAUGUGGAGCUAAAAAGUGGGUAUUAAGGCACUAACAAUAAGCAAGUAAAUGCACGAACCAACACAAGUACAAUGAAUCAAGUUUUUUAGUGGGGUAUGUGGACAUUCAUAAAUCUGAGAACUAUGUGACAUAUAAUGUGACAACUAAGUGAUAGUAAUCUGACAAGUACCGACGAAAACAAAAGUUGUUGAAACAUGUGAACGUGAGAUCUAGUUUGAAGAUCUCGUCGCGACAAAGUCAGUGAUGAAAACGGAUUUUGAUCAAACUUUGCGUAGUUUGACUCCAAACAAAUUUUACAUGCAGAGUAAAAAAGGAAAUGGAGGGAGCAUAAUACAGCAAAGCCAUAGCCGCCAUGUUUUGUCUCGUUUCCUCGAAGAAGAAACAAGCACCAUGCACUUUCAGCACAUUUCAUGUGGAAGAAAGAAAGUUUCACCACAUUUCACCUGGAAAACAGAAAGCACCAUCCACAUUUAGUAAAUCGGUAUGCUCCUAUUGCAAGCAACUUUUUGCUUGAGGAAGAACUCCACAUCUUCUCACCGGCCUGGUGGCAAGUCACUUCAUCAGUUGACCUGUUCGCCUUGCCUACAUUUCAUUAAUCAUGAUUUUAUAAUUUCAACAAGCACCAGGGAAGGGGAAUCACAUCUCUUUGCCUUACUGCAAUGUAGUGCCCCAUAUGUAACCUUCCCUAUUUUGGAACCUAUUGCAUGUGGGUCCACCUUGUCAGAGAUAUGAUGAUGUCACUUGUGUCUAUGAUUUCCUGUGUCACCUUGUGUCCCUUGCAUAUCUUUCAUGCAUGCAUAGCAUAACAUAUCAUAACAUCUCCUUGUCCUUGUGAUUUCAUGUGUCUCUUAUUUUUAGUUUCCCUUGCGUGCAUGCAAACCAUAAUGCUUCAUGUCAUGUCUUGUGUGCACAUAUCUUGCUAGGUGUGAUUGUGUGAUCUCGUGAUUUCAUGUGUUGAUAUUGCACAUAUGAAUUUUGUGGUGUGAAUUAGUGGAGUGUGGUGCUUGGCUUGUUUUUCAAACCCCUUGUUGGUUUCAAACCUUUCUCUCUUUAAUUCUCAAGUUCAAAACCUGUUUGCUCCUAUGCUGCUUUAUAAAUGUUACACCUUUAGCCCAUUUUAUUUGGAGUGUGGGCAUGUAGGAGAGGGGUUUUUAAAACCUCUUGUGCUAGAGGUUUUUCUUUAUUUCAGAUUUAAUUAAAUCUGUUUGGCAAUUAUUUUAGUUGCCCAAUUAGCCUUUUUGGUAUUUUAUUCAUUUGGGGCAUAAUUCCCUUAUGCCCAGGGAUAUUUUACCUCUUUUGUUUAUGCCUUAGUUUUUCCUAGAAAUAUCUGUGGCUCUCAUGUUGUUUGGAUAUUAGAGAGGGCCAGGUUUUCCCUCUUUCUAUCAAACCUUCGCAGCAGCAGCCCAUCUCCUUCCAGGCCCAAUACCCCUUCGCUCAACAUCAGCAGCCCAGGAGGCGAUCGUCUCCUUCCUCCCGGCGUCACGUCUGUACGAACGCAGCUCCACCUCCCGAUCGCCUCCCCUUGAUCCUGUGGCUCCAACGCCUCCCCCGAGGUAAUAUAAGGUGGAGGGAACCUUCCUCCUCCCCUAGGGUUCCCUCUCCUUCCCCCAGCGCCGCCGCCACCUCCCUCCUUUUCUCCUCCCUCUCCCUGGCAAGUCCUCUGUAGAGUAGGAGCAGAGAGAGAGAGGGUUCGACCGCCGCGUCUACCCCGUCUACUCCGUUGAGCAGCGCCGGCGGCCAUGUCCAGGGGCUCGGGGAGACUCCCCGCGACCCAUUCCCACGAGCGUUGAGGACGAGGGGCAACCACAGCGACGGCCAGCAGCGCGUCAUCACGUCGGCCUCGGAGCACCUCGUCUUCCUCUACCCCCGUCAGCAGCAGGAACCGCCGACGUCUUCUUCCCCUGCGGCUACUUCUUCGAUCGGGUGGCCUCCUCUCCUUCCUUCCCCAAGGUGAGGAACGUCUUCCCCUUCCUUCCUUCUCCUCCCUCGGCCUAGACCCUCCAUGGCACUCCUUGUGUCUCUCUGUUCGCGGUAGCCAACAGGAGAGCAGUAGUCGUGCUCGUUGUGUGGUGCAGUAGUAGGACCAUGUGCGUGUGUGUUGUGCAGCGGAGGUUCUUCCCCCUCGUAGUGCUUCGUUGGAUGUGUAGAUGGCUCCCUUCGUUGAUAGCAGCAGCAACGAUUCUGCCCGACGUCCUCCCUGACGCCGGCGUGCAGAGCACAGGUUCAGGUGCUCGUGUAAGUUUAGCCUGCGGUACUCCUGUGUUCUAGCAGUUACCUAUCGUAGCGCAAUGGUAGAUAUGUGUGUGUGUGUGUUAUCGUCAGGUGCAGGGUUCGAAUCCCAGCAGGAGCAUCCCCCUUUUUUUGUUUCCUUUUCUGUUUCGACAGUAGGGUAGCGCGGCAUGUAGAUCCCCUGCAUCGAUCCUCCUAUAUCGAGUACCUUGACCCUAGCAGAGUGGUAGGGCUGCAGUUUGCACCUCGAGUAGGUCUGGGGUUCGACCCCAGCACCUCUCCUUUUUGCCUUACCUUUGUUUCUUUUAUUCUCUUCCUUGCUGAUUGGUAGCUAAGCAGCCCCUGGUAAUUUGUAGCAUGGUAUUUCUAUUCUUCCUUGCCGUUUUUCCUUUCCUGCCUAGUUUAGGAGUGUGUGCAUGUGAUAGACUUGGUGUAGGUUUUGUGAUGGUGUGUGUGCAUGGUGGCACACACACAAGGGGUGUUUAUGUGCAUAAGAGUGUGUGUGUAUGUAUGAUUUUGCCCCCACACACCUUGUAUAGAUGUUGGUGUAGGGUGCUUGCAAGCAUGUGCUUGUGGCUCAAGUCGUAUGCAUGUGUGUGUGUUUGCACUAGGGGUGCAUAUGUAGCUAAAAUCAUGUGUAGGAGAUCAUGUAGCUUUAUCAUGCUUAGAAGUGCCUUUUUGUUGAGUGCAUGUAUGUAUAGAGUUGCUAAAUCCUAUGGUGUGUGUAUGUUUGCCAUGUGGUGCAAGCUAUGUCUAGUAUGUGUAGGUAUGUGUGUUGAUCUAGAGCAUGAUGUUGUUGUGAAUGAUGUGUAGUAUAUGUGUGUGUGUGGAACCUCCCCACCUUUGCAAAACUAUGCACCUUCACAUGUCUAUAUGUGAGAGGGCAUGGAGUUUGUGUGUGGGGAUAGUUUGGUAGAUGUGCUUGUGAUGUUGAUGUGCAUGACACAAACAUGUGGUUCAAACCCCCAUGUCACUUUGUCAUUGUGCACAUGAACCCAACCUUUGUAGUUGUUGUCUUAGUAGGGUACUUUAUGGAGUUGCAUAUUCAGUUUUGUUGCAAGUUUGAGCCUUGAUUCCAUGGAAUAGGUGGAGCCCAAGGGCAUGAGUUUUUGUGUGAUAGUAGUAGGGGUUUUGCUUUACACCAUAGUGGUGUCAAUUAUCUCUUGGUGUUAUGUGUGUGCAAACUAUGCCUAGACAAAGUGGGCAUGUGGCUGAAAAAUUCCAGAUUAGUGAACUCUGAAAUUUCACUAAGUCUGGGAUUCUGGAAACAUUUUCUUCCCCUAUAGAUGAGGAUGUGCUGGUCAUUCUAUUGAGAACUAGCCUUAGUUCAGUGCUAAGAUUUUGAACCUGAUAUGUUUUUGAAGCUUCCUGUCAAAUUUCAAGUCAUUUGGAGUCCAGUAGGUUGUGUUUUGGUUGCUGUCAAAAAGCUUCAGAACAGAGACAGAAACUCAGGUGCAGGAAUUUUCACUAAGUCCCUGAGAUCUGAUGGUCUUGGGAAAGUUUGUGGCCUUGUAUCUUCUAGAGUUUAAUUCCUUUUGCUGUGAUUCUUGCUGGUGCUUGUAGUGUUCUUGGUGGGAAACAACCACACAUAUUAUUUGUCAUGAUUGGAGACCUGUAGCUAUGUUGCAUGUAGCUCCCAAAGAGCUAAGAUGCAGAUUAUGACAGAUUAUGUAGUUUUGUCAUUUUGGUCAAUGUGUGUGCUUAGUUGAUGUUGUGGUGUUCUUCCUUGCUCCAAUCCAUUCAUGUUUGGUUGUUACAGGUCUUGGCAACCUGGGAAUACCAGAUUUGUGCCAAUUGUGAGUGUGGUGUUGAUUCUUCCACAUAGAGCUUCAUUGCUUGUUUCGUUGAUUCUCGUUGAUCCGUAGCUCCGUUUGCAAUGUUCUUUAUAUGGUUUUGCACCGUUUUCACGAGCCGCAUCUGUUCAUGUCAUUCUCAUGCAUGUCAAAAUAGCUUAGUGUACAGUUCUGUCCAGAAACUUGCAAUAGUUUAUUUUGCUUGUGCUAGUGAUAGAAAUAGUGGUGCAUGCUCAAUUUUCAUCUCAUGCAUCAUGUGAUUGCUGCAUCUUGUGGUGCUGUUGUUCAUUGGCUGUUGUUCUUAUGUUGGGUAGCACCGGGAUCGGAGACCGAAUACGUGGAGUCAGGAGAGUACGUGCAGGACGAACCAGAACCAGUCCAAGCCGAGGAUAUCACAGGCAAGAUGA